rnacentral:tRNA from 1 species
GUGAGAAUGGCCGAGUGGUCUAAAGCGCUGCGUUCAGGUCGCAGUCGACGUAUGUAGGGGUUGGUUCGAGUCCCACUUCUGACA